rnacentral:rRNA from 1 species
CCUACGGGAGGCUGCAGUAAGGAAUAUUGGUCAAUGGGGGAAACCCUGAAGCAGCAACGCAGCGUGGAGGAUGAAGGUUUUCGGAUUGGAAACUCCUUUUGUUAAAGAAGAUAAUGACGGUAUCUAACGAAUAAUCACCGGGUAACUCGGUGCAAGCAGCCGCGGUUAUACGGGGGGAGCAAGCGUUACUCGGAUUCACUGGGCGUAAAGAGCGCGUAGGCGGGAUAGCAAGUCAGAUGUGAAAUCCUGUGGCUUAACCAUAGAACUGAAUUUGAAACUGUUAUUCUAGAGUAUGGUAGAGGUAGGUGGAAUUCUUGGUGUAGGGGUAAAUCCGUAGAGAUCACGAGGAAUCCUCAUUGCGAAGGCGACCUGCUAGAACAUAACUGACGCUGAUGCGCGAAAGCGUGGGGAGCAAACAGGAUUAGAUACCCCUGUAGUC